GACGAACGCUGGCGGCGUGCUUAACACAUGCAAGUCGAACGAGUGGCGAACGGGUGAGUAACGCUAAUCAACCUGCCCUUCAGGGGGGGACACCGCCGGGAAACUGUCGCUAAUACCGCGUACCCUAGGAUGCGCCCGAGUGGGAUUAGGUAGUUGGUGGGGUAAUGGCCUACCAAGCCGACGAUCUCUAGCUGGGCUGAGAGGAUGACCAGCCACACCGGGACUGAGACACGGCCCGGACUCCUACGGGAGGCAGCAGUGGGGAAUAUUGCGCAAUGGGGGCAAGCUGACGCAGCCAUGCCGCGUGAGUGAAGAAGGCCUUCGGGUUGUAAAGUACUUUCGGCGACGAGGCGUUAAUCACAGAAGAAGCACCGGCUAACUCCGUGCCAGCAGCCGCGGUAAUAC
rnacentral:rRNA from 1 species